CCUACGGGUGGCAGCAGUGGGGAAUAUUGCACAAUGGGCGCGAGCCUGAUGCAGCCAUGCCGCGUGUGUGAAGAAGGCCUUCGGGUUGUAAAGCACUUUCAGCGGGGAGGAAGGCGGUGAGGUUAAUAACCUCAUCGAUUGACGUUACCCGCAGAAGAAGCACCGGCUAACUCCGUGCCAGCAGCCGCGGUAAUACGGAGGGUGCAAGCGUUAAUCGGAAUUACUGGGCGUAAAGCGCACGCAGGCGGUCUGUCAAGUCGGAUGUGAAAUCCCCGGGCUCAACCUGGGAACUGCAUUCGAAACUGGCAGGCUAGAGUCUUGUAGAGGGGGGUAGAAUUCCAGGUGUAGCGGUGAAAUGCGUAGAGAUCUGGAGGAAUACCGGUGGCGAAGGCGGCCCCCUGGACAAAGACUGACGCUCAGGUGCGAAAGCGUGGGGAGCAAACAGGAUUAGAUACCCCAGUAGUC
rnacentral:rRNA from 1 species